rnacentral:rRNA from 2 species
UACGUAGGGGGCUAGCGUUAUCCGGAAUUACUGGGCGUAAAGGGUGCGUAGGUGGUUUCUUAAGUCAGAGGUGAAAGGCUACGGCUCAACCGUAGUAAGCCUUUGAAACUGGGAAACUUGAGUGCAGGAGAGGAGAGUGGAAUUCCUAGUGUAGCGGUGAAAUGCGUAGAUAUUAGGAGGAACACCAGUUGCGAAGGCGGCUCUCUGGACUGUAACUGACACUGAGGCACGAAAGCGUGGGGAGCAAACA